rnacentral:rRNA from 1 species
GAUGAACGCUGGCGGCGUGCCUAACACAUGCAAGUCGAACGAAGCACACUCCUUCGGGGGUGUGACUGAGUGGCGGACGGGUGAGUAACGCGUGGGUAACCUGCCCUGUACAGGGGGAUAACAGCCAGAAAUGGCUGCUAAUACCGCAUAAGCGCACGAAGGGACAUCCCUUCGUGUGAAAAACUCCGGUGGUACAGGAUGGGCCCGCGUCUGAUUAGCUAGUUGGCGGGGUAAGGGCCCACCAAGGCGACGAUCAGUAGCCGGUCUGAGAGGAUGAACGGCCACAUUGGAACUGAGACACGGUCCAA